rnacentral:rRNA from 1 species
UACGAAGGGGGCUAGCGUUGCUCGGAAUCACUGGGCGUAAAGCGCACGUAGGCGGAUCUUUAAGUCAGGGGUGAAAUCCUGGAGCUCAACUCCAGAACUGCCUUUGAUACUGGGGAUCUCGAGUCCGGGAGAGGUGAGUGGAACUGCGAGUGUAGAGGUGAAAUUCGUAGAUAUUCGCAAGAACACCAGUGGCGAAGGCGGCUUACUGGUCCGGUUCUGACGCUGAGGCGCGAAAAGCGUGGGGAGCAAACAGG